rnacentral:rRNA from 1 species
UACGUAGGGUGCAAGCGUUAAUCGGAAUUACUGGGCGUAAAGCGCACGUAGGCGGCGCAGCAAGUCAGGGGUGAAAUCCCGGAGCUCAACUCCGGAACUGCCUUUGAAACUGCAGUGCUAGAAUCCUGGAGAGGCGAGUGGAAUUCCGAGUGUAGAGGUGAAAUUCGUAGAUAUUCGGAAGAACACCAGUGGCGAAGGCGACUCGCUGGACAGGUAUUGACGCUGAGGUGCGAAAGCGUGGGGAGCAAACAGG